GUCAUUUUGGACAUAUUUUACUCUCCUGUAAUGGAAAAAAUAGUAAACUAAAAUUUUAAAAUAUAAAAAUUAUGAUAACUAUUAUAAACAUAAAUAUGACUAUUUAUAUGUUUAAUAUUCUUAAUAGUGGAAUCAUAUUUUAUUUUAUAUCAUAACUCGGGAUAGAAUAUUUUAUUAUGGCCAUCUACUUAAUCUAGAAAUCGGAUAUUAAGUAUUAUACAUAGAUCUAUCAUAGGUAUAUAACGCAAACAAAACUUUUUUGUAUAUUCUAUUUUAGCUAGAAUUCAUUAGGUUAUAUUCUAGCAAGAUGUCGUUAGUCUACAUGUAACUUUAUUACAACUUAUACCCACGACUCUAUGAUGUACAUUUUCUUGUUUAUGUGUCAUAACAUGUUUUGUCUUUUACCUUAUGUUACGCCUACGGAAGAAUAAACUUUCCGCCCUCUCUAGAGUCUUUUACCUUGAGUUUUCGAUAGGUUCACAAAAGACAAUAACAUCAGCUCUCGUUGGUUAAAAAAUUUGCUCACAAAUAUUAUUUUCAAAUGCAAAAACAAAAACACCAAAGACUCUUAAAGACUAUAAAACAUAAUUUGAUCCGAUAAAAUCCCAAACAUAUGUUAUAGCUAGAAAAAAUACUGAUAUAUCAGUAGUCUAAUUGUUCUUCGAUGUAUCAUAUAUGCCAACAAGAUGUCGAACAAAGAAGUUUUAAGGAAUAAUCUUGUACAGAUUAAAUCGAUCUCUUCACUUCUUUUUUUUUGCUUCGAACAAUAUACAGGUUCCUGACUUCCUGUAGGAUAGGCCCAAAUCCCCAUUGUUUCAGACUAGAUAUGCUCGAAAGUCGAAAGAUAAAAAGUAGAGCAACUCAAUAGUUUUUUUUUUUGUUUUAAAUGGUUGCUUAUGCCUGCAGCUUCUAGAUACUUACGUUUGUGAAAAUGAAUUAUAUGUUACGCGGGGCAGUAAUCAUCAGGACUAGUUACUUUUUUUUUGUCAAAAGAAAAUUUCAUUAACUCGAAAUCAAUGUGGUUGGUACAGAUACGCAUCAAGCGCUUGUUUGGCUAGGCCAUCUUCCAAUACAAAGUUAAUGCGACUACGAAAAUUAAAGCGAGCAAGCUCCAUAGAGUUUGCGAAGGAGAUAACAUUGGAGACGAUUCCGUGAAGAUCGAAGAAAUUUGAUUCGCCUUCAACUGCUGCCAUCAGUUGAGAAGAAUCAGAUUCGAAGAUCACUUUCAUCAAUCCUAGGGCCCAUGCAUGUUCCAUGGCUUCUCUCAGUGCUAAUCCCUCUGCCAAAAGAGACGAAAUCACAAAAGAGGUUGAUUUACUAUGAGAUAAAAUAAUCUCUCCAUUUGCGCGGUAGAAGCUCCACGCUAAACCGGCUGUCGAUAUUCCAGAUCGCCAGGCUGCGUCAGAUCUGCAUAUGAUUGCAUCAGAGUGGCCUUCGAUCUGCGGAGUGGGGCGGCGGGAUUGUGUUCUUAGGUCGUAGCUUUGAGCCUCUUGCCAUUCCCUUGCGCUGAUUGACCAGAUGAUCCAAGCAGCGAGAUGUGUGGAGGAGAUGCCUGUUGGAGGGAGUGGUUUGGUCUGCACAGCAACUUGGAUCCCCUCUUGGACAUUUAAUAUAUAUCAGGACUAGUUACUGAUAAGCAGAAUUGUCGGUUUGACGUACGAAACCUUCCUUUGGAAUUUAUACGAUUGAUAUUGCUUACAAAUUGUAUAUGAUAGAAAUUGUGAGAAGAACGUUUUAUUAACUAUUUGAAUAUUGUCAAGAUUCUACAGUGAUCGUCAAGCAUCCGUCGGGUAUUUCCGACGAAAGUGUUAUACAGCCGUUUUGAAAGUUCAAAAUUUUCGAUGAAUGUUUUCUUCAUAAAAAUCCAUCAAGAAGUGAUCCAAAUUUAUCUAUAAA